GCUUUAUAUUAAAUGUUUAUUUUUUCAUUUAGAAGUAGUUUGUGAAUAAGCAAAAUAAUAUUUUGUUGGGGUGACAGGAAGAUAGAAUAAACUCUUCUUAAAAUGGUAACAUUGAUUUAUGAGUAAUUGAUCCAUUAUUAGUGAUUAUAAGACUAAGU
rnacentral:rRNA from 1 species